CAGCCGCCGCGGUAAUACGUAGGUGGCAAGCGUUGUCCGGAAUUAUUGGGCGUAAAGGGCUCGCAGGCGGUUUCUUAAGUCUGAUGUAAAAGCCCCCGGCUCAACCGGGGAGGGUCAUUGGAAACUGGGAAACUUGAGUGCAGAAGAGGAGAGUGGAAUUCCACGUGUAGCGGUGAAAUGCGUAGAGAUGUGGAGAAACACCAGUGGCGAAGGCGACUCUCUGGUCUGUAACUGACGCUGAGGAGCGAAAGCGUGGGGAGCGAACAGGAUUAGAUACCCCGGUAGUCCCUGUCUCUUAUAC
rnacentral:rRNA from 1 species